rnacentral:lncRNA from 1 species
UUGCAGACACAGGGUGACACACAGGUCACUCCAAAAACGCAGGUCCCCUAUUAAGGCAGAAUUAUUGCGACCAUAUAUCCAACCAUGAUUCUGUCCUCAUCUCUCCACCACCCCUGUCAUUUCUUCUUCAUUAUCUCCCCACCCUUUGCUUCUUUUUUUCCGCUUACUGUUGUUUAUAACGGGUCCAUCUAAAAUGUUAAAAUGUUUAAGAGAGGUUUCAAAUACAUCUUAUACCAUAUUUCGAUAUUCCCCACACUUGCCAUCGGGACAAUUAAUGCCUAAUUGGCUCUGAUACCAUGUUGAUGGACAAAUUCUCAACCGGUCUCCACACUCGGUAAUUCUGUAUAUAAUUAUUUUUAUCUCUUCUUCCCUCUCUCACCUAUAUAUACUUCCAUAAAUUCUCUCAUCUUCCC